rnacentral:piRNA from 1 species
UGCCGCCCGGGUGCAUAUCCUCCUUCCCA